GGGAUGUAGCUCAAUGGUAGAGUACUUGCCUAACAUGCACUAGCCCUGGGUUUAAUUCCCAGCACCCA
rnacentral:tRNA from 1 species